rnacentral:lncRNA from 1 species
AGAAUUGGCUGAAGCAAGUCUCCAUAUUUUGAAGCUCAGGCCCCUUGUGUUGCAACAGGAGUGUCGUUGGUCAUAUCGGGCAUCCUCCUCCAGAGAACUGAAGAACACCCCUCCGGAGUCAGGAUGACCUGAGGGCUACACAAGGCUCAUUUUUCAUUCCCUGUGCCAUCUGGCUCCGGCAGCCACAAGACCUUUCUGGGCCUGAAUAACUUCAUCUGUGCAAUGAAGGUAAAAACAGUGUCUACCUAAGAGGACAUUGUGAGAAUCAGCAAUAAUAUCCAUGAAAUGCUCAGCACCUGCCACCCACAAGGUGCUCAGCCUGCGAGAGGGAAGCUUCCACGGGAGGCAAAGGGCAGAGGCCUCACGAAACACUUUUUCCUAGCACAUUCUUUCUCUGUGAUUUUGGUGGUCCUUUGUGCCUUCAAACAAUGUUCAGUCCUCUCAGACAGAAGACUCUGUGUUCUUCAUUCACUCUGUGUAAGUCAUGGGUGGCCAUUUAAUACAUCUUGGUCAUCAGCAUGGACAAAGAUAACGAUGACCAAUGCACUGCUGGUCAGGUUCUGUUGUGUCUUCCAGAACCUGAUAUUAGGGAACCUGCCUAGCCUGUGGUAACCCUUGAGAGGGGUGUAGUAUAAGGGAUGAGCUAGUCUGCUUUUUAGGCCACAAAAAUAUUUGGUUGAAACAAGGCUGCUGACACUUUAACCAGUCCCGGGAGGACACGAAGCCACUUCAUAGUACUGAAAUCUUGGGAAAGGCAUUUACCUGUUCAGUCAGCCAUCCCUUCCCCUAUAGAAUGCAGGUGUAAUCGUCUCAACCCAUGGGAUUGGAAAAGGAAGUGGCUGCGUGUUUGUAGUGUCUCGUGUUGUGCCUGAUAACUGGUAGGGACAUGCAAAGUGACAGAAUCUUCUCAUUACGCCAUUUCAGCUUCUUUCCUCAUAGCUGAAUGAAACCAGCUACCAGUGCUGAGGGUAUCUGCUGGUGCCAGCCCCUUGCCUUUGUGCACCUGCAUAUUUGUGUGCAUAUGUAUAGAUGUACCUGCAGGUGGGUGGGUCAGAGGACCAACCUGGGGCAACAUUCCUCAGGUAACUUCGGCCUUUUUUUCUUUUGUGUCUUUUCUGUUUUCUUGGGUCUCUGGCUGGCCUGGAACUUAACAAGUUAGAGUUAAGCUGUGCCUCAAAGAACUAUCUCCCAAGUGCUGGGAUGGCAGGCUUCAUGCCCCACUGGCUGGUUGAAGUGAAACAUGGUCACAUCCACAUGGCAGUAGGCUCUGUCUCCACCACCAUGGCCAAGCGCCACCUCUGAGGAGCUAGGAGCACCCAAAGGACCCAGGACCACAGACUAUGACCAUGUCUGUGCUGGAGUGAGACCACUAGAAGAUAAUAACCACGUUCUUCUCAUGUAAAACCAGGGUUCUGCUCGAGCAACCCUUCUAGCAGCC